rnacentral:rRNA from 1 species
UACGUAGGGACCAAGCGUUGUUCGGAUUUACUGGGCGUAAAGGGCGCGUAGGCGGCAUGACAAGUCACUUGUGAAAUCUCCGGGCUUAACUCGGAACGGUCAAGUGAUACUGUCGCGCUAGAGUGCGGAAGGGGCAAUCAGAAUUCUUGGUGUAGCGGUGAAAUGCGUAGAUAUCAAGAGGAAUACCUGAGGUGAAGACGGGUUGCUAGGCCGACACUGACGCUGAAGCGCGAAAGCGUGGGGAGCAAACAGG